rnacentral:rRNA from 1 species
AUUGAACGCUGGCGGCAGGCUUAACACAUGCAAGUCGAGCGGGGUGAUGGUGCUUGCACUAUCACUUAGCGGCGGACGGGUGAGUAAUGCUUAGGAAUCUGCCUGUUAGUGGGGGACAACAUCUCGAAAGGGAUGCUAAUACCGCAUACGUCCUACGGGAGAAAGCAGGGGAUCACUUGUGACCUUGCGCUAAUAGAUGAGCCUAAGUCGGAUUAGCUAGUUGGUGGGGUAAAGGCCUACCAAGGCGACGAUCUGUAGCGGGUCUGAGAGGAUGAUCCGCCACACUGGGACUGAGACACGGCCCAGACUCCUACGGGAGGCAGCAGUGGGGAAUAUUGGACAAUGGGGGGAACCCUGAUCCAGCCAUGCCGCGUAUGUGAAGAAGGCCUUAUGGUUGUAAAGCACUUUAAGCGAGGAGGAGGCUCUUUUGGUUAAUACCCAAGAUGAGUGGACGUUACUCGCAGAAUAAGCACCGGCUAACUCUGUGCCAGCAGCCGCCGUAA